rnacentral:rRNA from 1 species
AUUGAACGCUGGCGGCAGGCCUAACACAUGCAAGUCGAGCGAGCGGCGGACGGGUGAGUAAUGUAUGGGGUCUGCCCGAUCGCGGGGGAUAACUAUUGGAAACGGUAGCUAGUACCGCAUACUAUCGGAUAACCCAUAUGGGAUUAGCUAGUAGGUGGGGUAAUGGCGCACCUAGGCGACGAUCCCUAGCUGGUCUGAGAGGAUGAUCAGCCAAACUGGGACUGAGACACGGCCCAGACUCCUACGGAGGCAGCAGGGGGGAAUAUUGCACAAUGGGCGCAAGCCUGAUGCAGCCAUGCCGCGUGUAUGAAGAAGGCCCUAGGGUUGUAAAGUACUUUCAGUCUGGAGGCGUUACCGACAGAAGAAGCACCGGCUAACUCCGUGCCAGCAGCCGCGGUAAUUC